rnacentral:rRNA from 1 species
GACGAACGCUGGCGGCGUGCUUAACACAUGCAAGUCGAACGAUGAAGCCUAGCUUGCUAGGUGGAUUAGUGGCGAACGGGUGAGUAAUACGUGAGUAACCUACCUUUAACUCUGGGAUAAGCCCGGGAAACUGGGUCUAAUACCGGAUACGACCAAUCUCCGCAUGGGGUGUUGGUGGAAAGCGUUAUGUAGUGGUUAUAGAUGGGCUCACGGCCUAUCAGCUUGUUGGUGAGGUAACGGCUCACCAAGGCGACGACGGGUAGCCGGCCUGAGAGGGUGACCGGCCACACGGGGACUGGGAAACGGCCAAGACUCCUACGGGAGGCAGCAGGGGGGAAUAUUGCACAAGGGGCGAAACCCUGAUGCAGCGACGCCGGGUGGGGGAUGACGGCCUUCGGGUUGUAAACCCUUGUUAGAAGGAAAGAAGGGGGAUGGACGGUACCUGAAGAAAAAGCGCCGGCUAACUAGGG